rnacentral:lncRNA from 1 species
CCUUUGGAUGUUCACAGAUGAGGGAAGGAAUCAUAAUUGGCUAACAAGAGGAGAUACAUUUGACUAUGUUAAGAGAACUGGAGGACCUCCACCAAGAUCUUGUGAUUGACAUCAUGUCUGGAUGCAGCUGCUUAUAAUCCACAGCCUCUGAAUAUAAAGACAGGUUAUGUCCCCGAAACACAAAAGAUACAAUGAUGAAGAGGAAUAAAACGACUACAACAAACACUUCCACUCAAAAAAGGGACAUAACAGAAGGGCCUUCAGAUAAGGUUCAAAUUGUCCAACAUGGUCUACAAAGCUCUCUACUGUUCCAGGAGCACUCAAGGGGGAAGGACAGGAAAUCCAGGUGCUGAUCAGAAACCCACAAAUAUCUGCCAGGCUGGCAACAGACCCUAAAGAGAGAGAUUAACAAAAAACAGUUGAGGAGCAAGCUAAAUUCCUACAGGCAAUAGUGGGACCAGAGCUCAUAGGCUGGCACCAAUAGUACAGUUUGGUCCCAAGGAGAAGCAGCAAGGCCAUGCAGGGAAUCACAUAAACAGGUCAGAUUUGUUUGAAGCAGUUUGACAGAGGAACAGACUAUAAAUUGUGGAAACCUGCCCACCUUUGUUUAUUCUUUGGCUGUGGAGGAACCAAGGAUAAAUAACUUGUAUACAAGCUCCUGGGAAUAAAGAAAAUUCUAACUAGCCUGAGACAUGGUCCUGACUUCUGCCAACAGAAACCUCCAGCAAUUGCUGGCUUAGGUAAAAAACAAAAACAAACAAACAAAAAACAAAACAAUACAAAAACCUCCUUUAAAGAUGAGUGUCCCAAAAGGAACUGAUAGAGGAUCUAAAAAUUAUGAUAAAGUAUUUUGCCCAAAUAAUAAUAAUAAAAAACUUAAAGCAAUCAUCUUGGUGAAAGAACACAAAAAAAUAGAACUCAAGGCGACAGGAGGAUCUGAGACAUGAUCUAUAGAACACAACAAAAAACUAAAUGGCAGAGAAAAUCCAUCACAGCAAAGAAGUUGAAACUGAAAGGAAGGCAAAUACGUUCAAAAGCUGAUUUUAAAAUAAAAUAAAAUAUUUAAACAGUUUUAAAAGGAAGCACAAAUGCACAAAGUAAGAAAUGAUUGAUAAGAAGUAGCACCAAAGGCAUAGAGGAAAUUUAAAUAAAUUACCUAGCUCAGUUUUAUACAAACUUGGAAACAUAAAUGAAAUGGAAAGUAUACUAGACAAUAUACUAGAAAUAUUAAACAGACCAGUUCCUAUAAAUGAAAUAAGAAAGCUAUUAAUAUCUUCCCUCUCCCACACACCAAAGGCAUAAAAUCCAGUUUCAGAAAUUCUACUACACCUUUACAGAACAGAAUUAAACUCAUUUAAACUCUUCCAGAGCGUGGGCGGAGUGGUGACGGUGGAAGGAAAGAAAACUACCAAACUCUUGGGAUAAUCUUUAUAUGAAACUGUACAUCAAAACCUGAUAAAGAUUGCACAGAAACAUAAAACUACAGAUGAAUUCCAUGUACUAAUAUGAUGCAAAAGUCCUAAAUAAAUUAAAACUAUAAACCAUUCUGACAAAGUGGGGUUUAUUCUAGGAAUAAAAAGAUGAUCCUUAGGAAACAUACUACCAUAUUUCACUAUAUUUAAGGAGGAAAGAAGACUAUCAGGUUUCUCCAUAGGUACUGAAGAAAGGCACUUUACAUUUUAGAAUUGCUUUUUUAAAAAAGGAAAAAAGAGAAGAGUCCA